GGAUGUGCUGUUGUUGAAUUCAAGAUGGAAGAGAGCAUGAAAAAAGCUGCGGAACGUCCACAACAACUUCCCCAUGGCCUUGGUGGUAUUGGCAUGGGGUUAGGACCAGGAGGGCAACCCAUUGAUGCCAAUCACCUGAAUAAAGGCAUCGGAAUGGGAAACAUAGGUCCCGCAGGAAUGGGAAUGGAAGGCAUAGGAUUUGGAAUAAAUAAAAUGGGAGGAAUGGAGGGGCCCUUUGGUGGUGGUAUGGAAAACAUGGGUCGAUUUGGAUCUGGGAUGAACAUGGGCAGGAUAAAUG
rnacentral:lncRNA from 1 species